CUGAAGUCUAGAUCGAGAGUCCUAUUUUCCAAUAUGAGAGUCUUGUGCUAUAGAAAACUAUACUAAUGUAUGUACACCAUUUGUUAUUAAUUAUGUAAAAGUGGGAUAUAAAUAUUAUGACUAUAGUAUGUAAAAGUAGCUUAAAAGUAUAUUAAUAUCUGUAAAUGUAGUAUAAAUUUGAUGGACUCUGAAAGUAGUUUGACGUAUGAUGCAUUAAACUUGAAAUAUUUACAGUGGUUUGAAGAAAAUAUAAGUGUGAAGGAAGAUAAAACCUUCUUUGGACCAAAUUUAAGUGUUUUAAAAUUAAUAAGAGAUAUUUUAAAUUAAUACAAACGUGAAAUAGACAAAAUUGUUGGUACGAAGCACAAAGAGGUUAAGUGAACGCGUGGAAGAGAUGAAGGGAAGCUACCCAAGGAAAGAAUUGUGCAGUUAAUUGCAAGAGUGUGUUACAGAUUUUACAAAUUGGGACUUCAAGAUAGCAUCAUUAAUUAUGGCUUCCAUUAUGGCAUAUAUAUGACUGAAUACGAUCAUUACUUCUUCUGUAGGAACAGAAAGUCCUCCUCUUUCAAUAGAAUGGGACCCAUAACCAGAUAUGUAAAUUUUAAUGGAAUCAUCAACAACACAAGUGGAUAAAUAUUCAGUUUCAAAGAUUCCCAGGAAACAAGUUACAUUAAUGGAAAGAUCAUGAAGAUUAUUAUCGUUAUCACAAAUUUCAAAUCUAUUUUUGAUUUAAGUAAAAGAAAAGAAUCUUGCCGAUUUCUUAAAUAUAUGUUUUAAUCUAAUAUUUUUCUCUGCAUGAACUACUUCAUUGUAUGAAACGUGAUAAUUACAACCAAAUAAAAGUCUAUAGUU